GGGGGCCUGUUUCUGCUCAAGAUCAAUGGUCAUGAACUUCCAGGAAAACGUCACCUUGGCUAUGGCUGUUUUCACCAUUCUAGCCUCCAUCUACUUCUUCAACAAGGCUCAGCACUGAGAAGACCACAGGAACCACCCCCAGCCCCCAGUCCAAGAACCGUGUCUCUGGCCCUGACCAUGGCUCUGGGCUUCAAGGUCAAAUAAAUGUGACGGCAUCA